rnacentral:lncRNA from 1 species
AACCUUUCCCGGGGUCUCCUCGGCUUCCUUGCAAAGGCUGGGGAGCCGCCAGAGGCCUCCCACGUGGCGAAAAUCACAGCACCUUUGGAGCAGGAAGGAUGGAGUCAGAAGUGGCCCCAACCAGUCUCCUUCCUGGCUGAGGCCUGGGGAAGGGCGGCCCUGGCUGCUUACCACGUUCUCCAGUUCUCCAGCUCCAAGACACGACCCUGCCUGCCCUGCCUUCCUUCCACCUCUACCUGCUCUCUGGAUCGCCUAUAAGUUUCCCCCUCAGCCCUUGCAGGGCAGAUUGCUCUCUUGUUGGUGGAGGAAGGCAGAUGCAGCCGGCUUGUGAAGGACAGCAGGUCCUGUGAAGCUCACCCCUCCCCUGCACACAGAUUUCUACCUUUUCUUGAAGCUGCUUUGAAUUGGUUUGCAUUUUGGGAACCAGAUGACCCCUAGGAUAGAAGACAAGGAACGCUGCUGCACUGACCGUGUUGUGGGGCCGCCCCUUGACUCCCUCCCUGAGCUUCCCCGUGGGCUGAGCUGGGACCGGCGGGCCAUGCACAGUACUGCUUCAAUAAGAAGAUGCACCCCCAGCGCUCCAGCUCCAAACGGCAGACUGUAAACAUUUCUUUUUAUUUUUUUAAAACGUUGGAGUGUAAUUGCUUUGCAAUGUUGUGUUAGUUUCUGCUGUACAACAAUGUGAAUCAGCCGUGUGUACACACACAGCCCCUCCCUCUUGAGCCUCCCUCCUCUCCCCACCGUCCCACUCCUCCAGGUCAUCGCAGGGCACCGAGCUGGGCUCCCUGUGCUGUACGACAGCUUCCCGCUAGCUAUCUGGUACAAACAGCAGACUUUUUCAAAGCACUUCUGGAGCCCAGCCUAAUUCCAGGCUGAGGGCAGACAGGCUGUACGGGUUUUUAGGGUCAGGAGGACAGCCAGAGGCAAGGGGGGGACUUUGGCACUGCCUGUCUCCUCCCUGCCACCCCUGCGGCUGAGCUCUCUGCUCCAGCCCGCUCUGAGGCUGACCAUGGUCUCCCGAUGGCUCUCCUGCUCUGUCCCUCUGCAGGCCCACUGGCUGCUGGACUGGUAACCCAGGGAAACGAUAUAAAAAGCCUCAGACUCGUACCACCGUCUCUUUCUUUCUUUACUUGGGCUUGGAUGCAGAAGACAAACUCCCCACCUGGGCAUAAGUGAUGAGUCAUUCCUCAAAGGUCGGCAGGAAGAUUUAUCUACUGAGCAGCCAGUCUAGUCCCUGACCCACAUCGCCUCCCCCACCUCUGAUCCGGGCCUGAGACAGUUCCCUGCAGGCUUCCACCCUGUUUUAUGUGGUGGUGCCCCAAGCAAGGGCAUGAAGCUUCCUGCUUCUCCACGGCUGCUCCUCUCUGCCACGUGAUUACCACCAGAGCUCUGCAGGCGCCGGGUUCCGGCUGCCAACUGCAGGGAGGAUGCU